CCUACGGGUGGCAGCAGUAGGGAAUCUUGCACAAUGGGCGAAAGCCUGAUGCAGCAACGCCGCGUGGGUGAAGAAGGCCUUCGGAUCGUAAAACUCUGUUGUUAGAGAAGAAAGUGCGUGAGCGUAACUGUUCACGUCUCGACGGUAUCUAACCAGAAAGCCACGGCUAACUACGGGCGAGCAGCUGCGGUAAUACGUAGGUGGCAAGCGUUAUCCGGAUUUAUUGGGCGUAAAGGGAACGCAGGCGGUCUGUUAAGUCUGUUGUGUAAGCCUUCGGCUCAACCGGAGUAGUGCAUUGGAAACUGGCAGGCUUGAGUGCAGAAGAGGUGAGUGGAACUCCUGGUGUAGCGGUGAAAUGCGUAGAUAUUACGAAGAACUCCGGUUGCGAAGGCAGCUUACUGG
rnacentral:rRNA from 1 species